CGGAAAGCCCGUACAUCGACACGGCGCGGCGGAGCCACAGGCUCUCGCCGGGCUCGCGGCGGCGGCGGCGGCGGCGCGCGGAGCAGCUCGCUGGCGAGCGCGCCUGCGCACCACCCGCAUGAGGGGGAGGCCACACGACGGCGGGAUCCGCCGCGCCGUCAAGAGAGACUGCUGAAAGAUCCUCAAUAGUGUGCAGUUUACUGAUUUCGAACAAGGAAAAAACAUAUCGUACCAAAGCAGACUCUCCUCUUGAGGGUGAUACUUGCCAUGCCCUUGAUACCAGUGGUUGUCGUACUCCUUUUGAGUUUGUUCACGUUGGUGGCCUAAUAAUUGAUUGGCCAACUAAAUCACUAUCAUAUCUUCAGCUUCAUGGUUACUGUCCACUAACACGUUAUGAACGGGUUGGUUUUCCAAAGGAGCAGUCUGGCUUGUCUAGAGAGUGAGGCACAGGCUUACAACAGCAUUCACAUUCAUUUCCUAAUGAGAUUCAUUCUAGCCAGGGCUCAGUAAAAUGAUGUUGGUUUGACGGGAUACAACGGUCUACAAACCUUCUCAAAAAGCAAUGUGAUUAAUGCCUUUUGUGUCAUGUGCGCGUUUGUUGAUUGUUGUAUUGCAAAUGAAGUCAAGCCUUCCUUUGCGCUGUACUUCUCCCAAGGGAACAGUUCGAUCCAAAAGUUUUCACAGAUGCAAAUUCCUUGAUGCCAUAGACAUUGGAUGCAGAUGAGCAUUCUAUCUCUCUCAGUCUUGACAUAGAUUCUGCAGUUGUAGCAAGAAAUCUCUGUUUGCUUGCUGGUUGGUCCACUUUUUAGGUGUUCUUAGGUAGGAAAAACAAGCCACAGUAUGGAUUUGUGAUAUUUUUUAGACAACAGGUCAACAGCAACAAUAGCGUCGUCGCUGUCUGUUAAGGAACAAUCCCAAGAGGCGCACUGCAAACAAGGAUACAGUUCAGGAAAAACAUCUCUGCACCAACCAGGAGAAUAUCAGUGGGAGCAGUGUCCAGAAAGGCGGCCGCUUAUGGCUCGGCGGCAUAUAGGCUCCAGACGACGCGCUCUCAUCUCGCUCACUGGUCGUUGGUCGAUUUAUCCUGCAUAAUCGGUGAUUUGGCGCUUGUCUGCGGUGUCACAACUGUCGAGCGCCUUACUGAACACUGAGUGCAGUGAGUGAGAAGUUAUGUUCUCAAAUGUCUGGUGCAGAGACCAGAGUGUCUCCAUCUACGGGCUUGCUUUUCUUCCAUGUGCCAGAGAUUCCUUAUGUACUUGGCACAUUUUUGUUAGUGUUCUAGUGUGUUCUGUCACCUGUUUUACCUCUGUCAGAUAUAUAAAUUGUAUCUAUGCAGAAAUGUGAAUUGAUCAAAUGAAGCUUUAUUUUUCGAGAGAGGAAAUGAUAAAUGGAGCUUAAAUUUA